UGUUGAGGAAGAUAAUGACGGUACUCAACAAGGAAGUGACGGCUAACUACGUGCCAGCAGCCGCGGUAAAACGUAGGUCACAAGCGUUGUCCGGAAUUACUGGGUGUAAAGGGAGCGCAGGCGGGARAWCAAGUUGGAAGUGAAAUCCAUGGGCUCAACCCAUGAACUGCUUUCAAAACUGGUCGUCUUGAGUAGUGCAGAGGUAGGCGGAAUUCCCGGUGUAGCGGUGGAAUGCGUAGAUAUCGGGAGGAACACCAGUGGCGAAGGCGGCCUACUGGGCACCAACUGACGCUGAGGCUCGAAAGUGUGGGUAGCAAACAGGAUUAGAUACCCUGGUAGUCCACACCGUAAACGAUGAUUACUAGGUGUUGGRAGAUUGACCCUYUCAGUGCCGCAGUUAACACAAUAAGUAAUCCACCUGGGGAGUACGACCGCAAGGUUGAAACUCAAAGGAAUUGACGGGGGCCCGCACAAGCAGUGGAGUAUGUGGUUUAAUUCGACGCAACGCGAAGAACCUUACCAAGUCUUGACAUCCUYUGACGAUSSUAGAAAYACGAUUUCUCUUCGGAGCARAGAGACAGGUGGUGCAUGGUUGUCGUCAGCUCGUGUCGUGAGAUGUUGGGUUAAGUCCCGCAACGAGCGCAACCCUUAUGGUCAGUUACUACGCAAGAGGACUCUGGCCAGACUGC
rnacentral:rRNA from 1 species